GUCUUUUUGAUUAUAAUUUAAAGUCUAACCUGCCCAAUGAAUAAUUUAAUGGCCGCAGUAUUUUAACUGUGCGAAGGUAGCAUAAUAAUUAGUUUUUUAAUUGAGAACUGGUAUGAAUGGUUGGACGAGAAAAUAGCUGUCUCAAUUUAAUUUUAAUUAGAAUUUUAUUUUUAAGUUAAAAAGCUUAAAUUUAUUUAAAAGACGAGAAGACCCUAUAGAGUUUUAUAUUAAAAGAUUAUUUAGUAUAUAAAGUAUUUCAUUUACAUUAUAACUUAUUAAUAUUUUAUUGGGGUGAUGUAAAAAUUUAAUAAACUUUUUAUAAUUUUUAACAUUAAUUUAUGAAUGAAUGAUCCAGAUUUACUGAUUAUAAGAUUAAAUUACCUUAGGGAUAACAGCGUAAUUUUUUUUUAGAGUUCUUAUCGAAAAAAAAGUUUGCGACCUCGAUGUUGAUUUAAAA
rnacentral:rRNA from 1 species